UACGGAGGGUGCGAGCGUUGUCCGGAUUUAUUGGGUUUAAAGGGUGCGCAGGUGGCCCGGUCAGUCAGUGGUGAAAUGCGGCCGCUCAACGGUCGAACUGCCAUUGAUACUGCCUGGCUUGAGAGGAGUGGAGGCCGCCGGAACGGACGGUGUAGCGGUGAAAUGCAUAGAUAUGUCACAGAACACCGAUUGCGAAGGCAGCUCACUAAGCUAUGAUUGACGCUGAGGCUCGAAAGCGUGGGGAUCAAACAGG
rnacentral:rRNA from 1 species